UUCGCAAUGCCCGAAAGGGUGACGAAGCGACGCCGCGUGCGGGAAGAAGGCCCUCGGGUUGUAAACCGCUGUCGGGAGUUAAGAAAUGCAAGGGUGUUAACAGCAUCCUUGCUUGACUAAGGCUCCGGAGGAAGCCACGGCUAACUCUGUGCCAGCAGCCGCGGUAAUACAGAGGCGGCAAGCGUUGUUCGGAAUUAUUGGGCGUAAAGAGCACGUAGGCGGCUGUGUAAGUCGGUUGUGAAAGCCUUCCGCUCAACGGGAGAACGGCAUCCGAUACUGCAUGGCUUGAGUGCGGGAGGGGAGAGUGGAACUUCUGGUGGAGCGGUGAAAUGCGUAGAUAUCAGAAGGAACACCGGCGGCGAAGGCGACUCUCUGGCCCGUAACUGACGCUGAGUGUGCGAAAGCUAGGGGAGCAAACGGGAUUAGAUACCCCGGUAGUCCUAGCCGUAAACGAUGGGCACUAAGUAGAGGGGUUUU
rnacentral:rRNA from 1 species